rnacentral:rRNA from 1 species
AUGAAAUUGUUGCUAUUGCACCGACACAUGAUAGUCCUAUUUAUCUUUUUGAAUUCUCCCAACUACACUAUAUCGGAGAAGUUUGCACCUAUUAAGGAUUACAUUGAUGAGUUGCCUUUUAUCGUUGCACAUGAUAAUUUUGAUGAAUGUAACAUGCAUGUGCUUGUUGCUCCUACUUGCAAUUAUUAUGAGAGAGGAACUACAUCUCUGCCUCUUUAUGUUUUCGAUACGAUAAAAUUGCAAGAAAGUGCUUAUACUAUGUAUUGGCCUUUACUUGAUGUGCAUGAAUUGUUCUUGUAUGACAUGCCGAUGCAUAGGAAGAGAGUUAGACUUCGUCAUUGCAUGAUAUAUGUUGCUUUGUGCUCAUUACUAAAUGCCAAAUCAUUGUUAAUUAAAAUUGGCUUUGAUAUACCUUGGGAUCCGGGUGGAUUCAUUACUUGA